rnacentral:tRNA from 1 species
GAAAUAUGAAGUUCAAGUGAAAGCUGCUAACUUAUCACUCUAGUGGUUAAAUUCCAUUUAUAUUUCU